rnacentral:tRNA from 1 species
GCCUUCGUGGUGUAGUGGUUCUGCACGCUGGAUUGGUAUUCCAGAGGUCCGUGGUUCGAUUCCCGGCGAAGGCG